rnacentral:tRNA from 1 species
GGAGGAGUCGCAUAGUUGGUCUAGUGCGCCUGUCUUGAAAACAGGUAAGCCGCAAGGCUUCGCGAGUUCGAAUCUCGCCUCCUCCG